UACGAAGGGUGCAAGCGUUAUUCGGAGUUACUGGGCGUAAAGAGCGCGUAGGCGGCUUAUUAAGUCGACUGUCAAAUUCCCCGGCUUAACCGGGGGUACGCAGUUGAUACUGAUGAGCUAGAGGUCAGGAGAGAGAAGUGGAAUUCUUGGAGUAGCGGUAAAACGCGUAGAUCUCAAGAGGAACACCGAUUGCGAAGGCAGCUUCUUGGUCUGUACCUGACGCUGAGGCGCGAAAGCGUGGGGAGCAAACAGG
rnacentral:rRNA from 1 species